GUCUAUUUCCAUAGAAACCAGAGUGGAAAUGAGGGCAGCAGCCGUGAGUCAGCCUGACGGGUGGUUCAUCCCAGCCAAGGUCUGGGAGCACAGGGGCCGUUAUAGAAAUAAACGGAUUUAGAACCAGAAAAAAGCGAAAGCCUUAAUUGGGAAACACUGGUUUCUUUAUUGACUUGGUUAAAUAAUGGAAAGGUCCUGCAAGUAAUACAGACACAGACAGACAUUUCUUUGCUAAUUAGGUAACAGGGAAUCACAAGCCUAUCUGCACCAUGCCAACCAUGCUGACCACAGCGGGCGACCCAUCAGAGAUGAUUCAUGGAGAGCAGCCUGCCGUUGGCUCUUUGGACAUGUACAGCUUCAGGAAUAAGACCCGGUUUUCUGCCUUCUGCACUGAUGCUGCAGGGAAUAAGAUUUAAAAAAAAAAAAAUCUAGCCCUUCUGUGUCACAGUCAACCACAGGAAAUGGUCACUGGGUCUGAGUUCACUGCAGCCACCUGGGGAGGUCAGCCGCAGACCCACCCACCGGCCAUCUUCCUACUUGUACCUGACCAGAUUCAUUUCCUCAGGAGAGACCGCGCAGGAUGGAUCAUUGGCUUAAAAAGGGAGACCGGAGGCCCCACUUUCUCAACCCACAGCUGCACCAUUUAUAUGAAAAGAUGCCGAGAAAAAUACUUAUCAGGAAGUUCUCUGACUCAUGGAAGGGAAGGAUGUCUUCCAAAGAAGCUGGACAGACUUCAAAUAAAAAACGGAAUUACACGGAAGCUAUCUUUCCCUCAAUUUUGUAGAUGUCAACAGAUGCCUUAUUGUGUCUUAUGUAACAAAACAUAUUUGGAUAAUAUUAUAAUGACAGAUAAGUAUAAUUGAAGUAUCAUUUUGAGACAAAUCAUUGAGAGUUUAAAGAAAAUGGAUUUGAAUAUUUUAAACAUAGAUGUGAUGACUUCUUUAAAAGUCAAUAAUUGAAAAUUUGUUUUCAUUUUCAUUUUUUUUCAAACUAGAAAUUAAAAAGCCACCGAAGCUGUGUGAUGGGUAUAUGGGCACUCUGUAUUGUUUUUUUCUGUGCAUCUAAAACCACCCCCCACCCCCAAUUAUUUUCAAAAAGAAACAACAAAACCACUGAAGAACAAUGAAGGGUAAUUAUUGUCUUUGUUGAAGAAACAUACCCAAUAGCCUUGUAGAGCUUACACUGCUGAAUGGGCAGUUAACAAAAGAAAUUACAGUAUGCUACUUUCCAAUGAAACAGUAGCUCGUCGAAUCAAAGAUUAAGCUGCAAACAUGAA